ACAGUCUUCGUAGUCCUCCCGCUCUAUCUGGUCGUUGUAGUCCAGCGUGGGCUGCUCUGUCUCCUCCUCCGGCUCUGAGAGAGAGCGCUUGUGGCCGCCUCAUCGAAGGCACUCCCCGACGCCGCCACCCCGGCCCACCCCGGGGACCCAGCAAGCCAGGGCGGUUGGUGCCCUGAGGCCAGGUGGCCGGCGCCCACUCACCAGGCUGGCGCUCCACGUCGGUCUCUCCUGCUGGGCCCUGCCAGGGAUCUGGGAGGGGCCCGUCUGCAACACAAAGCCCAGGAGCAGGUGGACGGGAGGCCUGCCCUGACCACUGGCUGCACCGUGAGCCUCCACGAGACCCGGGCCCUGCCGACACGCCCUGAACAGCUCACUCCCGGGAGGCCCGGGCUGCUCUAGCCCUAAGCACCCUGCUGGCAUUUCUGGGGGGCCAGAGAGCUGGACGGCUUUCUGGGGAGCCCAGGCCCUGCUGUCUGGGAGGACCUGCCGCAAAGCUGCCCCCGCAGGCGGGCACCCUCCAGGCUCAGAGCCCAGUGACGCUGUGGGCAGGUGGCUCUGGAUGGGGCCCAGGGGACGGAUCCCAGGACGGUGGAGAGCAAGCCCCCACCACGAGGCUGCCAAGCACUUCCUCCCCAGGGGAGGAGCGGCACCGAGGGAGGGACAACAGUGAGGCCGCAGCGCCCACCCGGACUGGGGGCUCUGAGGGUCUGCGAGAGGCAGGGCCUCAGGGACCCGCCCUCAGCCCCCUCCCCCUGCAGCCCAGCAGGUCAGAGCCCCACAGUCUCAGAAGAGCCAGCACACACCUCCCUCCUGGGGCAGCUCCUCGAGGCCGGGGCUGGCGACUGGGGGCAGUGGCCACUUCGGGCUUUCGGAGGGGGUUGGGAUGGGGGCCUUCUUCCCAGCCAGAGGCCUCUUGUUGGCCUUGGGUGGCUUCUCCUUGGGCUUCUUGGUGGCCUUGGGUGGCUUUUCCUUGGGCUUCUUGGUGGCCUUGGGUGGUUUCUCCUUGGGCUUCUUGGUGGCCUUGGGUGGCUUCUCCUUGGGCUUCUUGGGAGGCCUGGAGGGCACCUCCGGGGGCUGCUUGGUCGCCUUGGGGCCUUUGUCCUUCUUUCCUUUCUUCCCUUUGUCUUUGGCUUUUCCUGGAGGUGCUGUUCAAGAUGCAGACUCAGCUUCCUGCAUGAAAAGAAGAACCCAGGAUGGACCUGGAGCAGCAGGGGGAGGGGCUCUCCUGCUUCCUUCUGCCCAUCCUAGAAGCCACACUUAAAACUAUGACCUGGAAUAACUCGGUUUUCUCAGGCUAUCAGACAGUUUGGAUCUCGAGGCAACUCUGGCUGGAGCCUUGGGAGGCAUGAGGGUCUCCACGGAGCUUUCAACAAGGUCCAGCCCUGAGCGUGGCCCAGAGACCCAGCAAUCAUGGAGGUAUCCUUCCUCUGAAGAUGUUCAGGCCAGAGGGAACAGGAUCAUCCGGCAUUGGCCCACCAGGCCGCGGGGCUACCAGCCCCUCCUGCUGAGGCCCGAGUAUCCCAGGAGCCACCCUGGUGCCUCAGCCUGGGCAGAGGUGGGAAACUCACCUGCCAAAAGGACCAGUGUGUCCCACUUCUAACUGCGGCCGCGGAACACUGGGGCUGGGAGCAGUAGCGGCAGAGCUCCUCCAAGGCUCCCGCGGCCUCCAAGGCAGCAGCUCAGACCCGGCCCAGCUGGCUAAAAUGAGUGUGUGCGGUGAGGUGGGGGUCGGAGUUGUAACUGGAAGGCUCUGGAAGCCGGGCCUCCGGACAGCAGGCCCUGGGAUCAGGCACCAGCCCUCCCAGUCUCCUGGAGUCCUGAGUUGGCCUCGAGGGACCAAGCGAGAAGGACCCAGGCCCAUCCGGUCCCUCUGCCCCUCCCUCUCAGGGGAGGGCCCUGGAAACGCCCUCUUGUCUACAGUUUGGACAACACCGGGGGUAAGUCUGCCCGGGCUCACCAGGAGGGUGGUUCCCAGAGCCAUGGGACCUGGGGUCUCCCAGACAGUGUCUAGCUGUCCGCACAACUGGCAGAAUGAUUUUCUUGGUUUCCAACAACUUGAAAACCACAUGUGAUUUUCCAUAGUCUGGUGCCCCCGCCCAGCUCCCCAGGCUUGGACUGCUGAGUGAGCAGAGUUCACCGGAA